rnacentral:rRNA from 1 species
AACGAACGCUGGCGGCAGGCUUAACACAUGCAAGUCGAACGCAUCGCAAGAUGAGUGGCAGACGGGUGAGUAACGCGUGGGAACAUACCCUUUUCUACGGAAUAGCUCUGGGAAACUGGAAUUAAUACCGUAUACGCCCUACGGGGGAAAGAUUUAUCGGAGAAGGAUUGGCCCGCGUUGGAUUAGCUAGUUGGUGGGGUAAAGGCCUACCAAGGCGACGAUCCAUAGCUGGUCUGAGAGGAUGAUCAGCCACAUUGGGACUGAGACACGGCCCAAACUCCUACGGGAGGCAGCAGUGGGGAAUAUUGGACAAUGGGCGCAAGCCUGAUCCAGCCAUGCCGCGUGAGUGAUGAAGGCCUUAGGGUUGUAAAGCUCUUUCACCGAUGAAGAUAAUGACGGUAGUCGGAGAAGAAGCCCCGGCUAACUUCGUGCCAGCAGCCGCUGUAA